rnacentral:piRNA from 1 species
UUCACAGUGCCAUGGCUCCAAGGCUGC